CAAGCCCUACGGGGCGCAGCAGUGGGGGAUAUUGCACAAUGGGGGGAACCCUGAUGCAGCGACGCCGCGUGGGUGAAGGAGCGUUUCGGCGCGUAAAGCCCUAUCGGCAGGGAAGAAGGAGGACGGUACCUGACUAAGAAGCCCCGGCUAACUACGUGCCAGCAGCCGCAGUAAUACGUAGGGGGCAAGCGUUAUCCGGAUUUACUGGGUGUAAAGGGGGCGCAGACGGCAGCGCAAGCCAGGAGGGAAAGCCCGGGGCCCAACCCCGG
rnacentral:rRNA from 1 species